rnacentral:lncRNA from 1 species
ACAUUAAAAUUCAGUUCAAGAGAAGUCCGAGUCUGAUGUCAAAAGAUGUAACGAAAGAAAAUAAAUAAAAUGACAAUAAUACAUAAAUAACAACAGACUACUAGCAGUUAACUGACAUGCCAGCUCCAGACCUCAAUUAAACUGAUUGAAAGAUUAUGUCUUCAUCAUAUGAAUAUCAGGUACAAUCCCUCCCGUUAGGGGUUUAGUAUCAUACUAUCAUAAAAUAUAUGAGAAGAACAUAACCCGUGUCAUGCCAACC